GUAAAACGAACCCUAAAGCAUUCAUUUUAUUCUUUUGCUUUCUCUUCGUUGUGGCGCUGCCAUGAGGGUUUUGCUCCUUCGAGGGUUUUGGAUGGAAAUUUUAUUUGCAAACCUUGUGCACAUGGUAGUUGUCAUGAGCAAAAAAGUGUAAGGAGCAUGAAGACAAGCGACAAUGCAGCCUCAAGGAUUCGCCAUUCAGGAAAUGAUGGAUCCCUACUCCUUUUAUAUGUUUUCUUCUAUAAAUGUAUAGUUUCUUUUCAUAAUGCAUGGAAUGAGUUACUCCCAUGGCUUGUGUGGGACAUUAUACUUUUGAUAUUUAUGAAUAAAGAAAGCAAUUUUAUGUGCAAA